rnacentral:ncRNA from 1 species
UAACUCUAGCGCCAGGACUAGUUAAUAGUUGACGAGGACGAAGUUUAUCGAAUUUUCGGCGGAUACUUCGCGGGAUACCUGUUUCCGAAAAGUCUCUACAAAACUUGGAAGAAAUUCCAUCGACAAAAGA